GGCGGUCAGAUGAAUCCGUUCGGAUAAGACCCAUACGCUUGCACACAGAAAGCCCGCUAACAACACGACCAAAAAUUGUAUGUUUUCCGUCUAACCAAGGAGUAGGUGCUAGAGUGAUAAAAAACUGAAGAUGGUUAAAGUUAGUGUAAACAAAGUCAUCAUACCUGUGAUGAAUUUGUGUUAGGUCCAGCAUUGGCCAUUGAUAAAAUGCCAGCUCCAGUGUGAUGUAAAUCGGAAUGAAUCUCAUCGUCAAAUUUAUCCCUAAUCAAUUAAUAAGAAUGUGAAAACUUCGUAAUAAAGAUGCAAACAAUCGGUGAAUGCCGAUUUAUAAAGCUUUGCCUACCCAUAUAUAGAAGUUCCACCUCGACCUGUACCUGUGGGAUCCCCUCCUUGAAUUACAAAGUCUGGAAUAACUCUGUGAAACUAAUUUAAUUAGUACCAAUUUCACGAAUUAAAUCAAAUACGAUAUUGAAUGAAUUAUAGGACACAUAUUUAUAUGACUGACUGAGUCCAUCAUGUAAAUGUGAACAGUUAAAUCAAUAAAAUAACACACUUGA